rnacentral:rRNA from 1 species
AGAGUUUGAUCAUGGCUCAGAAUCAACGCUGGCGGCGUGCCUCAGACAUGCAAGUCGAACGCGAAAGUUUCCUUCGGGAGACAAGUAGAGUGGCGCACGGGUGAGUAACACGUAGGUAAUCUACCUCUGAGUGGGGAAUAACCAUCGGAAACGAUGGCUAAUACCGCAUAACAUCGCAAGAUUAAAGCUUUAGUGCUUGGAGAGGAGCCUGCGGCAGAUUAGCUAGUUGGUAAGGUAAUGGCUUACCAAGGCGACGAUCUGUAUCCGGCCUGAGAGGGCGGUCGGACACACUGACACUGAAUAACGGGUCAGACUCCUACGGGAGGCAGCAGUCGGGAAUCUUGGGCAAUGGGCGAAAGCCUGACCCAGCAACGCCGCGUGAAGGAUGAAGUCCUUCGGGAUGUAAACUUCGGAAGUAUGGGAAGAAUAAAUGACGGUACCAUAUCUAAGCCCCGGCUAACUCUGUGCCAGCCGCCGCGGUAAUAC